AUGAUCUUCAUCCAUCUUGAAGAAGGGACAGUUCUCGCAUCCUGAUUCCCUAAACUGGUCAUAAGUUUUAACAAGACGGCAACGGAGACAAGCUCUCAGUUCAUGCCCAAAACUGGUCGGAAUUUGUGCAGGUUGGCUUCCCAUUCUUGAUUCUUCCACUACUCUUUCACUACCACUCACCCAAUUUGCUCCGAUCGCUGUUCCGUUCCAAGAGAUUUGGGGAAGUUCGAUUUUCUCUUCUAGAGUUUACUGGAUUUUCUUCUUCACUCGCUGUUUUGGGGGAAAAA
rnacentral:misc_RNA from 1 species